UGCCCUGUCGUCUAACGGUAGGACUACGGAUUCUGAUUCCGUCUAUCGAGGUUCGAAUCCUCGCGGGGCAUCCA
rnacentral:tRNA from 1 species